rnacentral:rRNA from 1 species
CCCUUAGAUGUUCGGGGCCGCACGCGCGCUACACUGAAGGACUCAGCGUGUCUCUCCCCCUAUCCCGAAAGGGAUGGGCAACCCGUUGAACCUCCUUCGUGCUAGGGAUUGGGGUUUGCAAUUAUCCCCCAUGAACGAGGAAUUCCCAGUAAGCGCGAGUCAUCAGCUCGCGUUGAUUACGUCCCUGCCCUUUGUACACACCGCCCGUCGCUACUACCGAUUGGAUGAUCCGAUGAAUAUCAUGGAUUGAGGAUGCAAGUAGGUUAGCCUAUCUUCAUCUUCGAGAAGUGAAGUAAAUCUUAUCAUUUAGAGGAAGGAGAAGUCGUAACA